CGAACGCUGGCGGCGUGCUUACCACAUGCAAGUCGACCGGAAAGGCCCUGCUUUUGUGGGGUGCUCGAGUGGCGAACGGGUGAGUAACACGUGAGUAACCUGCCCUUGACUUUGGGAUAACUUCAGGAAACUGGGGCUAAUACCGGAUAGGAGCUCCUGCUGCAUGGUGGGGGUUGGAAAGUUUCGGCGGUUGGGGAUGGACUCGCGGCUUAUCAGCUUGUUGGUGGGGUAGUGGCUUACCAAGGCUUUGACGGGUAACCGGCCUGAGAGGGUGACCGGCCACAUUGGGACUGAGAUACGGCCCAGACUCCUACGGGAGGCAGCAGUGGGGAAUAUUGCACAAUGGGCGGAAGCCUGAUGCAGCAACGCCGCGUGCGGGAUGACGGCCUUCGGGUUGUAAACCGCUUUCGCCUGUGACGAAGCGUGAGUGACGGUAAUGGGUAAAGAAGCACCGGCUAACUACGUG
rnacentral:rRNA from 1 species